UGGCUCUCGCAUCGAUGAAGAACGCGGCGAAAUGCGAUAAGUAAUGUGAAUUGCAGAUUUCAGUGAAUCAUCGAAUCUUUGAACGCACCUUGCGCUCCUAGGUCUUCCGAGGAGCAUGCCUGUUUGAGUGCCCAGAACUUCUCUCGGUCUUCUUCUUUUUUCCUUGCGAGAAGGAAGAGGAUCGGACGAUGGGAGCUCUGCCGUGAUCGUUCACGGCUCUCCCCAAAUGUGUUAGCUUGUGGGGGGACGAACCGCCGUUGGCUUGAUAAACAUCUUACGCCAUCGUGUUCGGACCGUAACACGGCUUCAUAACCGUCCCAGGACAAUUUCUGACCUCGGGCCUCAAAUCAGGUAGGACUACCCGCUGA
rnacentral:misc_RNA from 1 species